CAGAGCUUAUUUCAAAAGGGUUAGAAAAAACACCAGAUCAUUUUUGCACAGAUUCGGUUGGAUUUACAAAAUGAAUUUCAAAGUACUUACUUUAUUUGCCGUCGUGAUAUUGGCAUAUUUUUCGUAUACGGAGGCAGAAACGAGGAUGUGCUUAGAUUGGGCAUGCUCGGCUGGUUGUAAAUUGAGGGAUUGGGACGAAGGCUCAUGUAAAACUGGUAAUUGUACAUGCUCCGAUCGAGACAGAAAAACAUCCAUUAUUAUACCCAACCCUAAAUAAAUCCGCUUUUUAAAAGUGAUUUCAUUAAAUUUUAAUCGAAGUUAUUUCGAUAGAUUUCCAAGUCUGAGCCUUUUCGGUUUCAUUCAAUAUUGUUGAAAAUGAUGGUCCAAUAAAAUAGCUUUGAAAGUA